GCGCCCGUAGCUCAGUUGGAUAGAGCGUCGGACUUCGAAUCCGAAGGCCGGGCGUUCAAAUCGCCCCGGGCGUGCCA
rnacentral:tRNA from 1 species